CUCUCCUGUGUGGAUCCCAAUGGUUAUCUAGAGAGAGAAGGGGAUGCUCAAGAAAACGGGGUUUCCCAUACAGAGCCACGGUCGAGUUGAAACAACUGCGACCAUUGUUUUUCUGGAACAUUAGUUUGGAGGUGUUACAAGGUCAAGCUUUCUCAGGAUCUCUACAGUUCUCUACAGCUCUAUGGGACUCAGGGCCGGACUACCACAUCUGGGGCCCCGGGGCACCUACUUCCAGUGGGCAAAUGUUUUUUGAAGGGGGGGGCUAACGUCCUGCAAUUCUACACACUUGCUAUGGUGCAGAGAAAAAUGUGCAGUUUUAUAGCUAAUGUCAUUCUACCCAUUUUGCCAUGAGGCUGAGGAAAUUCUGCAGUUUUAAAGAUAAUCUCCUGCAAUUCCAGACAUUUUGCCAUGGCUAAUAACGUGUUCAUAUGCUAUCUAGGGGGGGCCCGACUUCCAGGGGGCCCCCAACCCUGUGCCCUGUGUGCCCGUUAGGUAAUCCGUCCCUGAUGGGACUGUGCCCAUAGAAUUAGGAAUUGAGUGUACCAGUCAAAUUGCCGUGGUCUGAGUAUAUUAGUAUAUUUAUAUGACUGUGCCAGCCCCCUCCACCCCUUAUUGCGCGAGGAUCCAUUUCAUUUGACAAAUAAGAAGUCUUUACACUGUUUAAAAGUGGCACUGGCUCUGUGUGCCUAGCCAGAUGAGCUCAUGAAAAGAGAGAACAUGACAUACCUUCAAUAACUGGUGCCAUGAUUGAAAUUGUUACACUAGUGUAAAUACAUGUCAUUUGUUUACAUAUGCCUACAUAAUGUAAUGAAUUAAAAUUCCUCUGCAGUUGGCGGUUGGUGUUUGUCACCUUACGUUGUUUUUUUUACAUUUAAAACUAUGUGUAAGGUGAAAGGACACGUACAAUGAGAUGAAAUAUUUCAACUCUAAAUCAAAUAACAAACCCAUAAACAUUCUCGUGAAUGUAGCAGACGCUCUACUCGUGUCCCUUACGGUUUCAAGACCUUCAGUGCUCGAACAGUGAGAACAGAACACAAGCUGAACACUAAAUGUUUAGGAUGAAGUGCAAUGGGGACCUAUUUUUAACCUCAGGCAGUGAGAUGAUUGGAGGUUGUUUCUACUGCCAAACUGGGAUCCUCUCCACCCCAUGCCAUAUGUCUGAUAAACAAUGUUUUGUUAGCCAGAUGUGAUUUUCCAAUGCCAAGUCUCCAAGAGUCACUGAUACAAUAACAAACUCAAUCCGUCAGUUAAACAAAAAGUCUGCUGUGUAACAUCAAAGUUACAGCUCUUACAAUGUCUUAUGUGGACGGUGGCUUUUUUGAAGAAGAGUUGACAAAUACUUGAUGCUUAAAAAUACUAGGGGGUAAAGCGACCAAAAUAAAUCAUUCACUAAUUUCUGAGACGGGACGAUAAAAUAGAGAUGAUUAAAUUAGAGACAAUAUAUCUCAAUAUUCUUAUAAU